rfam:Schistosoma haematobium scaffold705_47, whole genome shotgun sequence.
AUCCAGCUGACGAAUCUCAAAUAGGAUGAAACGUGAGUUCUGGAU